AAGUCGUAACAAGGUUUCCGUAGGUGAACCUGCGGAAGGAUCAUUAUUAUUUGGGUUGGGUUUACUUUUCAAAAAAUCGUCCUUUAAUUUUUAAAAAAGUAAAUCUGCACCAAAUAAAGUUAUCAUAUUGACAACUUUAUUUUCUCGCCCUUUUAUAGGGAGGAGCAAGAUGAACAACUUAUUUAAAACCAUCCACUCUUAAAAAAUGUAUCUUAUAAUAUAUCUAUAAUAAAGAUCACUUUCAACAACGGAUCUCUUGGCUCUC
rnacentral:misc_RNA from 1 species